UCCCUAGUAAGCGCAAGUCAUCAGCUUGCGUUGAUUACGUCCCUGCCCUUUGUACACACCGCCCGUCGCUACUACCGAUUGAAUGGCUCAGUGAGGCUUCCGGACUGGCCCAGGGAGGUCGGCAACGACCACCCAGGGCCGGAAAGCUAUCCAAACUCGGUCAUUUAGAGGAAGUAAAAGUCGUAACAAGGUCUCCGUUGGUGAACCAGCGGAGGGAUCAUUACAGAGUUGCAAAACUCCCAACCAUUGUGAACCUACCUCACCGUUGCUUCGGCGGGUGGCCCGCUAAACCCGCGCCGCGCCAGCCCCUCUCUUGGGGGGGUCGGCAACCCGUCAGAGGACCGAAACUCUUCGUCAUCAGUGGCCUCUCUGAGUAACUUAUACAAUAAGUCAAAACUUUCAACAACGGAUCUCUUGGUUCUGGCAUCGAUGAAGAACGCAGCGAAAUGCGAUACGUAAUGUGAAUUGCAGAUUUCAGUGAAUCAUCGAAUCUUUGAACGCACAUUGCGCCCGCUAGUAUUCUGGCGGGCAUGCCUGUUCGAGCGUCAUUUCAACCAUCAAGCGCCUGCGCUUGUGUUGGAGCCCUGCGGCUGCCGCAGGCUCCCAAACCCAGUGGCGGGCUCGUCGUCGUACCGAGUGCAGUAAAUUUACCACGCUCAGGGCGCGCGACGGGUGACCGGCCGUAAAACCCCCAACUUCUCAAGGUUGACCUCGGAUCAGGUAGGAAUACCCGCUGAACUUAA
rnacentral:rRNA from 1 species